rnacentral:rRNA from 1 species
AUUGAACGCUGGCGGCAGGCCUAACACAUGCAAGUCGAACGAGUGGCGGACGGGUGAGUAAUGUCUGGGAAACUGCCUCAUGUAGGGGGAUAACUACGGGAAACGGUAGCUAAUACCGCAUACCAUCGGAUGUGCCCAGAUGGGAUUAGCUAGUAGGUGGGGUAAAGGCUCACCUAGGCGACGAUCCCUAGCUGGUCUGAGAGGAUGACCAGCCACACUGGAACUGGGACACGGUCCAGACUCCUACGGGAGGCAGCAGUGGGGAAUAUUGCACAAUGGGCGCAAGCCUGAUGCAGCCAUGCCGCGUGUAUGAAGAAGGCCUUCGGGUUGUAAAGCACUUUCAGCGGGGAGGCGUUACCCGCAGAAGAAGCACCGGCUAACUCCGUGCCAGCCGCCGCGGUAAUGC